rnacentral:rRNA from 1 species
UACGUAGGGUGCAAGCGUUAAUCGGAAUUACUGGGCGUAAAGCGUGCGCAGGCGGUUCCGCAAGUCAGAUGUGAAAUCCCCGGGCUUAACCUGGGAAUGGCAUUGGUGACUGCACGGCUAGAGUGUGCCAGAGGGGGGUAGAAUUCCACGUGUAGCAGUGAAAUGCGUAGAGAUGUGGAGGAAUACCGAUGGCGAAGGCAGCCCCCUGGGAUAACACUGACGCUCAUGCACGAAAGCGUGGGGAGCAAACAGG